rnacentral:lncRNA from 13 species
AGAAGGGAAGCGGCGGAAGGAUCACGAGUCUCACGCUUGAAGAGAAAGGGGGAUGGGAAGGAGGGAGGGAGAGGGAGGGGGUGGCUCGGAGAGGCGACGGGAAACGCUGCAGCUCCGGCAGCCGCGGGAUCCGGCGGGCUGACGGCGGGGGCCCGGCGAACUGAAGGGCGGUGGAGUCGCGAGUCAGUCAGAGACGGGCGGUGGCGGUGGCGGCGGCUCCUCUCCUCAUUGCGCCAGGAGCAGCUGCAGGCGGCGGCUGGAUCCAGCGGCCAUGGCGGCGGCGGUGGCGGUGGCGGAGGCAGCUCCCUUCAGACCCCAGGCAGCGGCUCCUCGACUGCUCCCCAUACGCAAGGGACAUGGGAACCCGGCAACCGCUUCCGUCUCUCGGGGCCCCCUCCCCCGUCCGCGGCACCAGCGCGGCCGCCCUCCCGCCCCCCCCGCCCCUCGCCUCUGCUCGGUGCCCGCUCAGGAAGUGUCCGCGCUUUGCCCCCAGCCCAGAGCCCUGUCAGCGGCUGCGGGGCCGGCUCCUCCUUGCUUCCUUCCUUCCUUCCUUUGUCACUCGGCCCGGGCAGCGGCGGCGGCAGCGGCGGCGGCGGCGGUACAAGCCCGCAUUCGCCCGGGUCGGGGGCUGCUCUGUGUGAGGAGCGCUGUCUGCGCAGCCGCCUUGCACUUCCCCACUCCCUCCUCCCCCCUCCUACUCGUCCUCCACCUCCUUCCUCCCCCACCCAGCCUUACACCGCCCAGCGUCCAGCCGCCCGCGUAACAGGCGUCUGGGAAUCGCCGGCCGAGCCCCGCGCUCGCCCGCUUCGGCUUGGAGCCGAAGCCCGAAAAGAGCCAAUCGCGGACGUCGUUUGUUUGCGACUCCUCCCGGAUGAAGCCGAUCGGCCUGAGAAACCAAUUAGAAAAUGUCGAUGGGAAACCACGCCCAAAGAGCGGAAAAUGCCGAAGGUAGCCGUACGGAAAGGGCUGGCUAGAGGAGACAUUCGACAAUGGCAACUGGGGCCAAUCAGAAUCGCCGGCCUCAUGAAAACGCUUGAAGAGUUGAGGACGGUGAAACCCGGAGACGCUGGUGAAACUGCACGGCUGGGCGCCGCCACCGCUUUGUAA